rnacentral:rRNA from 1 species
UACGUAGGGUGCGAGCGUUGUUCGGAUUCAUUGGGCGUAAAGGGUGCGUAGGCGGUCGCGCAAGUCGGAUGUGAAAUCUCAGGGCUCAACCCUGAAACUGCAUUCGAUACUGCGUGGCUAGAGUGCUGGAGAGGAGACUGGAAUUUACGGUGUAGCAGUGAAAUGCGUAGAUAUCGUAAGGAAGACCAGUGGCGAAGGCGAGUCUCUGGACAGCAACUGACGCUGAGGCACGAAGGCCAGGGGAGCAAACGGG